AAAGGCACUCCAGUUUUGCAGCAGAGACCCACGACAGACUAUGACCAGCUAGUGAGCCAGGUCGAUGAUAUCUGCACAUCCUUCUUGUCUGAAGAAUUUCCAUUCAGGACGCGUAAGAUGUUGGGAGAGGUGUGUGUCUUGAUGCUGGGGGCCCUACAGAAUGCUCAGGUGAUACAGGAUUUGACACCAAGAGAUAACAGUAAAAGGCUUCCUGUGCCGCAUCCGCUUCUAGAGCUGGUUUCUACGAUGCUCUCUAAGAAGGAAGUGAGAAGAGCCUCGGUGCACGAUGAUAUGAAGGGACCAGGAGGAAUACAGAGCAGAGGAUACUUUCUUUAUCGGCCGAGAAAUGGAAGAAGAUCCGCAGAAUAUGUGUAAAUAAAGACUAAAAGUUGUCGCCAGUUGGACCCACUGCACAGACCUGACCUGGGAUCCUGAGGGUGUCAUGGCCUACCUACCCUGCAGCUCUCCUAACCUCCUCCAUACCCUCCAUGACCACUGUAUCGUGCUGUUGAAUGUACUCAAGAGAAUCCAAAUAAACUUCUU